GACGAACGCUGGCGGCGUGCUUAACACAUGCAAGUCGAACGGAAAGGCCCUGCUUGCAGGGUACUCGAGUGGCGAACGGGUGAGUAACACGUGGGUGAUCUGCCCUGCACUUCGGGAUAAGCCUGGGAAACUGGGUCUAAUACCGGAUAGGAGCCAUUUUUAGUGUGAUGGUUGGAAAGUUUUUUCGGUGUAGGAUGAGCUCGCGGCCUAUCAGCUUGUUGGUGGGGUAAUGGCCUACCAAGGCGGCGACGGGUAGCCGGCCUGAGAGGGUGGACGGCCACAUUGGGACUGAGAUACGGCCCAGACUCCUACGGGAGGCAGCAGUGGGGAAUAUUGCACAAUGGGCGCAAGCCUGAUGCAGCGACGCCGCGUGGGGGAUGACGGCAUUCGGGUUGUAAACUCCUUUCGCUAGGGACGAAGCUUUUUGUGACGGUACCUAGAUAAGAAGCACCGGCUAACUAAGUG
rnacentral:rRNA from 1 species